rnacentral:rRNA from 1 species
AUUGAACGCUGGCGGCGUGCCUAACACAUGCAAGUCGAGCGGUAACAGGUGUAGCAAUACAUGCUGACGAGCGGCGAACGGGUGAGUAACACGUGGGUGACCUGCCCUCAGCUCUGGGAUAAGCCCGGGAAACUGGGUCUAAUACCGGAUAUGACUCCAUGACGCAUGUUGUGGGGUGGAAAGCCUUGUGCGGCUGAGGAUGGGCCCGCGGCCUAUCAGCUUGUUGGUGGGGUGAUGGCCUACCAAGGCGACGACGGGUAGCCGGCCGUGAGAGGGCGACCGGCCACACUGGGACUGAGACACGGCCCAGACUCCUACGGGAGGCAGCAGUGGGAAUCUUGCGCAAUGGGCGAAAGCCUGACGCAGCGACGCCGCGUGAGGGAUGACGGCU